GCCGCUGCCAGGGAGGAAAUAAUGCUGGCCAUACAGUUGUUGUGCAUUCUGUGGAGUAUGAUUUUCAUCUCUUACCCAGUGGAAUAAUUAUUCCAAAUGUUACUGCAUUCAAUGGAAAUGGUGUGGUAAUUCAUCUACCUGGAUUGUUUGAAGAAGCAGAGAAAAAUGUUCAAAAAGGAAAAGGACUAGAAGGCUGGGAAAAAGGCUUAUUUUAUCUGACAGAGCUCAUAUUGUAUUUGAUUUUCAUCAAGCCGCUGAUGGUGUCCAGGAACAACAGAGACAAGAACAAGCAGGAAAAAAUUUGGGUACAACAAAAAAGGGCAUUGGC
rnacentral:lncRNA from 1 species